UACGUAGGGUGCGAGCGUUGUCCGGAAUUAUUGGGCGUAAAGAGCUUGUAGGCGGUCUGUCGCGUCUGCUGUGAAAAUCCGGGGCUCAACCCCGGACUUGCAGUGGGUACGGGCAGACUAGAGUGUGGUAGGGGAGACUGGAAUUCCUGGUGUAGCGGUGAAAUGCGCAGAUAUCAGGAGGAAUACCGGUGGCGAAAGCGACUCUCUGGACGGCAACUGACGCUGAGGCACGAAAGCGUGGGGAGCAAACAGG
rnacentral:rRNA from 1 species